AGGAUGAACGCUAGCGAUAGGCCUAACACAUGCAAGUCGAGGGGCAUCAUGGGGUAGCAAUACUCUGAUGGCGACCGGCGGAUGGGUGAGUAACACGUAUGCAACCUACCUACGACAUUGGGAUAACCCGUUGAAAGACGGACUAAUACCUUAUAAUACAUUGGCACCGCAUGGUGGUAUUUGUUAAAGAUUUUAUCGGUUGUAGAUGGGCAUGCGCAUGAUUAGCUAGUUGGGGAGGUAACGGCUUCCCAAGGCAACGAUCAUUAGGGGUUCUGAGAGGAAGGUCCCCCACACUGGAACUGAGACACGGUCCAGACUCCUACGGGAGGCAGCAGUGAGGAAUAUUGGUCAAUGGGCGAUAGCCUGAACCAGCCACGUCGCGUGCAGGAAGACUGUCUUAUGGAUUGUAAACUGCUUUUUCGGUAGAGUAAAGUGCGUCACGUGUGACGUAUUGCAAGUAUACCGUGAAUAAGGAUCGGCUAACUCCGUGCCAGCAGCCGCGGUAAUACGGAGGAUCCGAGCGUUAUCCGGAUUUAUUGGGUUUAAAGGGUACGUAGGCGGGGCGUAUAAGUCAGCGGUGAAA
rnacentral:rRNA from 1 species